rnacentral:rRNA from 1 species
CCCUUAGAUGUUCUGGGCCGCACGCGCGCUACACUGACGACUUCAACGAGUUUUUUUCAUUUGAAAAAGUCCUUGGCCGGAAGGUCUGGGUAAUCUUUUAAAAGGUCGUCGUGAUGGGGCUAGAUUCUUGCAAUUAUUAAUCUCCAACGAGGAAUUCCUAGUAAACGCAAGUCAUCAGCUUGCAUUGAUUACGUCCCUGCCCUUUGUACACACCGCCCGUCGCACCUACCGAUUGAAUGAUCCGGUGAAGCCUUCGGACUUUUGUGGUAGUCUUUUGUUAGACUCCAUGGAGGGAAGUUGUAUAAACCUUAUCAUUUAGAGGAAGGUGAAGUCGUAACA